AACAGGGAUUGCCCCAGUAACGGCGAGUGAAGCGGCAACAGCUCAAAUUUGAAAUCUGGCUCUCGGGCCCGAGUUGUAAUUUGUAGAGGAUGCUUUUGGUGAGGUGCCUUCCGAGUUCCCUGGAACGGGACGCCAUAGAGGGUGAGAGCCCCGUCUGGUUGGACGCCGAACCUCUGUAAAGCUCCUUCGACGAGUCGAGUAGUUUGGGAAUGCUGCUCUAAAUGGGAGGUAUAUGUCUUCUAAAGCUAAAUACCGGCCAGAGACCGAUAGCGCACAAGUAGAGUGAUCGAAAGAUGAAAAGAACUUUGAAAAGAGAGUUAAACAGUACGUGAAAUUGUUGAAAGGGAAGCGCUUGUGACCAGACUUGGGCUUGGUUGAUCAUCCGGGGUUCUCCCCGGUGCACUCUUCCGGCUCAGGCCAGCAUCAGUUCGCCCUGGGGGAUAAAGGCAUCGGGAACGUGGCUCUCUCCGGGGAGUGUUA
rnacentral:misc_RNA from 1 species